UACGAAGGGGGCUAGCGUUGUUCGGAAUGACUGGGCGUAAAGGGCGCGUAGGCGGCUUUUUUAAGUCAGGCGUGAAAGCCCCGGGCUCAACCUGGGAACGGCGCUUGAUACUGGAAGGCUUGAGGGCGGGAGAGGAUGGUGGAAUUCCCAGUGUAGAGGUGAAAUUCGUAGAUAUUGGGAAGAACACCGGUGGCGAAGGCGGCCAUCUGGACCGUUUCUGACGCUGAGGCGCGAAAGCGUGGGGAGCAAACAGGAUUAGAUACCCCAGUAGU
rnacentral:rRNA from 1 species